CAGCAUCCAGGUUGCUUCUAUUUCCUAACCACUGUGACUAGAGCAGCUAUGAUCAUGGAUGUGCAAGUGUCUGUUCACUAGGACUACAGAGUCCUUUAGAUACAGGAUGUUAAGAAGAAUUGGUUCCAGGCUUCUGUGUGGAAGAGGAGGCAGAAGGGUUGUAAGAGCCAGAGCUGAUGGAGGACUCCAAGGAAACAGUCUUCCAGACACAACAGGACUGUUGCGCAUAUGAACUUUGGAGACUGUAGCAGCAUGCACAAGAGCCCACAGGUUCUAAUCAGACAAAAUCUCAGCACUGAGGAGAACUGACACAAAGUCCCACCCUAACCAAGAAGCUAUGUGUGAUUGAUACCUGCUGGGAGAGGGGGAAUUGGUUUUUUCCAAUGAAGUAUCAAUGUGGAUACCAACCACACUCCAAGGCGGGCCCCAUGACCAAGAGACACUGGCUGACACAAAUGGACUCCAAGUUUUUUUAACGGACUUUUUGUUUUGUCUCAUUUUGUUUAGGUACUUUUUGGUCUGAUCUGUAUUAUGUUUUAGUUUUCUUUCAUUUUUAUUAUUUGUUGCUUUCCUUGGAAUUUUUUUUUUUAAGAAAGAGAAAAAGAAAGGGAGGGAGAACAUGAGUUGGGUGGAAAGGAUCUGGGAAGAACUGAGGGGAAAAUGAAUGGUUCAGUUGGUAAAGGGGCUUGCCACUAAACCUGAGGACCUGAGUUCAAUUCCUAGAACUCUCGUGGUAGGAGAGAGAGAACCAUAUUGUCCUCUGACCAUCACAUAUACACCAUACCACAUGUGCACCCCUUCAUACACACAUACAAUGAAAUAAAUAAAUCAGGCUGGGCUAGUUUUCCUGCA